rnacentral:tRNA from 1 species
CAGAAAGUAGUUUAUUAAAACUUUAGGUUUGGAAACUAAGGAUGUAAGACCACUUACUUUUCUGA